rnacentral:lncRNA from 1 species
CAAAUUUCUAGCAUAAUUGCGAGAAUUGGGAGGGCUAAGGCAGAAGGAUCACAAGUUCAAGGCCAGCCUCAGCAACUUAGCAAGGUCCUAAGCAACUUAAUGAGACCCUGUCUCCAAAUAAAAAAGAAAAAGGCUGGGGAUGUAGCCCAGUGGUGAAGUGCCCUGGAUUCAGUCCCUAGUAUUUCCAAAGAAAAUUAUACCGUGUUAAUAAAUCUGUUGCCAGUAUCAAUGAUUAUCUUGUUAUUUGAAACUAAUACAUAUUCACAAGGAAAAACAAAUGAGUACUUUCGAUUGUGUUAUUAAGACCUAAGAUUUUUAGAGUAGCAGAAAAAUAUGUAAAUUUAAAAGACUAUGAAUCCUCUGAUCUUUGGUUGGUUGGCAGUAUCAGCAUGAACUCAUAUUUAUUCUUCUGCUUUGAAAGUAUAUAUCUUAUCCCACCCCUAGGAAGACUCAGGAGCAAUGGCGGUUCAGUAGCAGUGACACCCUCCAUGCCAGGUCUGAAUGUCAUUCCCCAUCAAAAGGAGUCCAGGCUCUUCAGAGCAAUGGCUCAUUUCAGGGCUGGGGCAAGAAAUUAAGAGGAUUCUGGGUUGUGUUGCCACACCUUGUAACUACCAGGGAUCAGGCACCACUUGGAGCAUUUCAAGCACCAACAUGGGGAACUACUUACUGAGGACUGAAAUAUAGUGGGCCUAUAAAUAUUCUGAAUUCAUAGUGGUUGUUUUUGAUCAUGUCCAGACCAAAAUUGAUUUUUAAAAAAGGGAAAGAAUCAAGCCUUUCUUAUGACUUUUAUGACUUUUCUAUAUAGGCUGUAUUUCAGGGCCACCAAAUAGGAUAAGCUCUUCAUUACAGAAGAGUCAGAGCUGAUAAAGGCAGGAACAAUACUAGAAUUAGAAAGCUACCAUUUUACAGCCUCUAAUGAAAUAAUUGAUCUGAGAACCAAACAUCGACAUUACUGGAACCAUUAAGUGAAAUUUUGAUGAAUUUUAUGGUGGAGGCUCAGGCUGGUCAAUCUUUUUUUUUAAUUUUAUUUUUAUUCUAAUUUGCUAUAUAUGACGACAGAAUGUGUUACAAUUCAUAUUACACAUAGAGAGCACGUUUUUCAUAUCUCUGAUUGUACACAAAGUAUAUUCACACCAUUCAUGUCUUCAUACAUGUACUUAGGGUAAUUAUGUCCAUCUCAUUCCACCAUCUUUUUUACACCCCUUGCUCUCUCCCUUCCCCUCCCUCCCCUUUGCCCUAUCUAGAAUAACAAAUAACCCAAUCAAUAAAUGGGCAAAGGAACUAAGCAGACACUUCUCAGAAGUGAAUACAAUCAAUCAACCAACAAAUAUAUGAAAAAGUGUUCAACAUCUCUAGCUAUUAGAGAAAUGCAAAUCAGACUACUGUAAGAUUUCAUCUCACUUCAGUCAGAAAGGCAGCUAUUAAGAAUACAAACAACAAUAAGUGUUGGUGAGGAUGUGGGGGAAAAGGUACACUCAUACAUUGCUGGUAGGACUACAAAAUGGUGCAGCCAAUAUGGAAAGCAGUAUGGAGAUUCCUUGGAAAACUUGGAAUAGAACUACAUUUGACCUGGCUAUCCCACUCCUUAGUCUAUACCCAAAGGACUUAAAAACAGCAUACUACAGGGACACAGCCACAUCAAUGUUUAUUGCCCCACAAUUCACAACAGCUAAAGCGUGGAACCAACCUAGAUGCCUUUCAGUAGAUGAAUGGAUAAAGAAAUUGUGGUAUAUAUACACAAUGGAAUAUUACUCAGCAACAAAAGAAUAAAAUCAUGACAUUUGCAGGUAAAUGGAUGGAGUUGGAGAAUAUAAUUCUAAGUGAAGUUAGCCAAACUCAAAAAAACAAAUGCCUAAUGUUUUCUCUGAUAUAAGGAGUCUGAUUCAUAGUGGAGUAGGGAGGGGAAGCACUAGAAGAUUAGACGAACUCUGGUCAAUCUUAACAUCACUAAGAGUGGGAGAAGCACCAGCUAGUGGGACAUGUGGGGACUUAAGCUGUGGCUCCCACCGUAUGUUUUUGACCAAAGGAAAUUGAACCUGAAUGCUUUCCAUAAUAGGUUAAAUGAUCCUUUGAGAUAAAGUCAAUCAGAUCCACAAUACAGGACAUUGUGUGGAACAAUCCGGUUCCUUGGACCAGUAUAUGGCUGUGAAAGAGAAGCAUGGUACACUGUAUAUAGUAGAAAGGAACUGAAGGUGUGAGGGGCAUACUCCUUGUUUGUACCCCAGUUCACAUGAGCUGAGUGAAGACUCUGCUAGACAGUCAUUCACAUUUUGCAUGGAUGUGUUAUAGUAUGUCCAAAUGUGAAAAUGAUACUACAGAUAGGUUGUCAAAGUCCUUAUCUGUUAGCAAUACCAACCAAGGUACUUAAGGGUAACAGCAUGACAUGAGUCUCAAGAGAAAAAGUUCUUAUUAUAGCUUAACUAUAAUAUAAUGUCUUUUCAUCCAGUUAAUUUUUUUCUUUUCUUUCUGUUUAUUUUGCUUGUUCAUUUGUUUGCUCUUACUGGUGCAUUAUAGUUGUACAUAAAAAUUGGGUUCAUUUUGACAUAAUUAUGUAUGUCCCUCCCCUCCUCUGUCCCCCCCUCCUCCUCCUCCUCUAUUCUACUGAUCUACCUUGCACUCAUUAGUAUGUUUUUUUCUCUUUUAAUUUUUUUAUUAGUUGCUCAAAACAUUACAAUGAUCAGUAUGUUUUUAAUUGAUGCUUUAUAGCCAUACAUAAAGAUGGAAUUCACAGUGGUAUAUUUAUACACGCACAUAGCAUAUUUUUUUCUCUUUCCUGUCCCUUCACCCUCCAUCUCCUCCUAAUCCACUGAUCUUCCUUCUAUCUUUAUGAACCCACCACCACCAACACCACUUUCUGUUUUUUUAUUUUGAUCUAGCUUCCACAUAUGAGAGAACAUCUGACCCUUGAUUUUCUCAAAUGUUUUUUUUUUUUUUCUUAGCAUGAUGUUCUCCAGUUCCAUUCAUUUACCAAAAAAUGCCAUAAUUUCAUCCUACUUUAUGGCCGAAUAGAACUCCAUUGUGUAUGUAUACCUCAUUUUCUUUAUCCAUUCAUCCACUGACAGGCACCUGGGCUGGUUACAUAACUUGGGUGUUGUGAAUUGCACUACUAUAAAUAUUGAUAUGCCCUUAUCACUAUAGUAUGCUAAUUUUAGUUCUUUUAGAGAAGUACGAAAGAGUGGGAUAUCUGGGUCAUACAGUGGUUCCAUUUCUAAGUUGUUUUUUUUUUUUUUUUUUUAGGAAUUUCCAUGUGCUUUCCAGAGUGGCUGUACUAGUCUGCAGUCCCACUAAUAAUGUAUGAGUGUCCCUUCCCCCACAUCCUUGUCAGCAUUUAUAUUAUGGCUGCCACAAAUGACUAGAGUGAGAUGAAAUCUCAAUGUAGUUUUGAUAUACAUUUCCCUAACUGGUAAGAAUGUUGAGGGCUGGGGUUAUAGCUCAGUUGUAGAGCGCUUACCUUGUACAUGUGAGGCUCUGGGUUUGAUCCUCAGUACCACAUAAAAAUAAAUAAAAUAAAUAAAGAUAUUGUGUCCAUCUUAAAAAAAAAAAGAAUGUUGAACAUUUUUUCAUGCAUUUGUUGGCCAUUUGUGUUUCUCCUUUUGAGAAGUGUCUGUUUACUUCUUUUGCCCAUUUUAUUAUUGUGGGUAUUUUGAGUGUGUGUGUGUGUUUUAAGUCUUCAAGUUUUAUAUAUUCUGGUCAUUGAUCCCCUAACUGAAGAGUAGCUUGCAAAAAUCUUCUCCCAUUCUGUAGGCUCUCUCUUCAAAAUUAUUUAUCAUUUCCUUUACUGUGCAGAAGCUUUUAAUUUGAUACUGUCCCACUCAAUUAAAUUCUUGUUUUUAUUUCUUAAGCAUUAGGGGUCUUGCUAAGGAAAUCAACACCUGUGCCACUAUGUUGAAUUGUUUAGCUCAUGUUUUCUUCUAGCAGUUGCAGAAUUUCUUCUCUAAUUCCUAAAUCUUUGGUAGACUUUCAUUUGACUUUUGUGUGAGGUAAGAGAUAGGGAUCUAGUUUCAUUUUUCUACAUAUGGAUAUCCAGGUUUCCCAGCAUCAUUUGUUUAAAAGGCUAUAUUUUCUCUAACAUAUAUUUUUGGCACCUUUGUCAAGUACCAGGUGGCUAUCUCUGUGUGUGUUUGCGACUUCUGUUCCACUAGUCUUCAUGCCUGUUUUGGUGGCCAAUACCAUGCUGUUUUUGUAAUUACAGCUCUGUAGUAUAAUUUGAGAUCAGGUAUUGGGAUGCCUCCUAUAUCACUCUUCUUGAUCAGGAUUGCUUUGACUUUCUAGGUCUCUUAUUUUUCCAAAUGAAUUUUGGAACUGAUUUUUAUAGUUCUGUGAAGAAUGUCAUUAGUAUUUUGAUGAGAAAUCUGUAUAUUGCUUUUGGUAGUCUGGCCAUUUUGACAAUAGUAGUUCUGCCCAUCCAUGAAUGUGAGAGGUCUUUUCAUCUUGUGUUUCUUCAGUUUCUUUCUUCAGUGUUCUAUAGUUUUCAUUAUAAAUGUCUUCCACCUUCUUUGUUAAAUUAAUUUCCAAUAGAGUUACUUCAUAGAAAGAAAGAGCAUUGCUUAAGUAUAGUAUUGACAAGCUUACACCAAAAUACACUAAUAUUACAUCCUUUCUUCUAGACCAAGCCACCUUGGGAGAACAAGUAAAACGAGUGAAAGAAAUUGAAGCCAUCGAAAGUGAUUCUUUCAUCCAGCAGACAUUCAGAUCAAGUAAGGAAAUCAGAAAGGUAAGCCCACACAAGCAUUGAGUUGGCCUGACUCCAGCCCAGGAGGGCCUCAGUCUUGGCUGUGAGUGCUGCUUAUUGCAGGUUAAGGAGGGCCAGAGUAAAUCACUGAAUUCAGGGCAAGAUUAGCCCAUGCAGAAGCAGAGAGCACAAAUGGAUCUGAUGUGUAUUUUAAAUUUACCAAAGAAGACAAAGAUGUUAGAAGAUGGUUCUGAAACAGUCAUAUGCAUUUCAUGAACAUAGCAGUUUUCUUUUCAAAUGUAUACAUCUUUUUUUUAAAUUGACAUUCCCAGAAAAAGUUAGGAAAGGACUUUAAAUCAUGAAACUAUUACCCCAACAGUAGCCCGUAUCUGUUUUUUGUCCUGAGGUACUUCACUCAGCUCCAGUUAAAGGACUUUUGAACUAUAUUUUGCUUCUGUUGAGUUUUCCAUAUAUUCAUUCUCUCAUUAGUAAGGAUAGAUUUAGAAAUUUACAAUCCUUUACUAGAAAAAGAUUCUGGAAAAAACAAAUAGUAUUUAAUAAUGUUAAUAUAAAGAAGAUAUGGCUACCCCCUAUUCUAAAAUAGUGCAUGUGUGCAGAUGUACUAACAGCUGUAUAAUACCUUGAUGACGAAUGUAAUAAUUCAUUUUUUCCUCUGAUAUUAGAAAUUAACUAGUGAUGUUUAGAGAGAGAUGACAUACAUGUUUGCAAAUAUCCAUUAUUAUCCCCUCAAAAUACAUUUUUUUCAAGAUGAAGUUAUUUAUUUAAGAUUAUAUUGUUUAAUAUGUUUCCAAAGUUAUCUGCCAAAACCAUUGUGCCAACUCAAAUUCCACCCAAAGUGCAAGGUGCCUCUGCUUCUGUGCUGGUCUGCAGGCUGUCAGGCGCUCCCAUCUCACUCUUUCUGACCUGGUGGGCACCUUUGCCAUCACAGGUGAGGUGGAAGUUUUUAUUUCCACACACUCUUGAAGUCAUCCCUCCAGAAGAUGUGAGUUGGGCAUGCGUGCCCCCACAGGGCCAGGUGCUGCAGAGCCACAGUCCCCAUGCUGUCGAGGGGUGGAUCAUCUUUGGCUUCUGGUGAUUAACUGUUGCACCUCCUAAACCUGCAACUGUGAAAUGGGCACUCAUAGCUACAGUCACCCAUCUUACUUAACACAUUACUUUUGCAUAUUGUAAGGACCUUCAUCUGUCCUAAUAGAAUUACUGUAAUUUAUUUUUAAAUUUGCUCUUCUGGUAUCUGUUUCCUGAAACUCCCUUGACUUCUCAGUUCAUACUGGACUCUGUUCUAAUCAGCUAGCAUUUUCUCUUCAUGGAAAUGUUUACUCCUCUAUAUUUAAUAUACUGUCUUUUCUUCUAAAUGACUUUUUCCUAUUUGACCCAAUAAUAUUUCACUUUAAACUUAUUUUUAAUUCAGUGCCUCUCCUUCAGGAAAGUGUGCUUUGAAAGGUAAGAAGUGGUGUCAACAGGAGAACACACCAGAAAGCCUCAGAAUGGCAUUUGCCUUGGUGGAGGUACAGUCUGGAGUCUCAGCCAUCCGGCUGAGUGCCCACACUUCCAAAUGACCAGAAGACCAGUGAUAGGCAAACAGUAGCAUCUAAAAAAGAGCUGAAAUGCUCAUGUCUGCAGUGUUUACCAAGGAUUCAAGGUGCCCAAGAAGGUGAAUUGUGUAUCAGGAGAUGAUUAGCAAAGAGAAGUGAGGACCUCAAGGAUGGAUGCAGAUCAUGGGGAACAUGUCAGGCUGUCCCUAGUGCAUGGCAAGAUAACUUUGAGGACUGCUGUCCACUCAUUCCUCUUGUGGACAGUUCAUUCAUGGGUGUGAGGUCCGUGUCUCUGAAGAAGGCUGCUCUGUGCUGGCUGCCCCUCAGCUGGCACAGUCAUUCUAAAGCUGGGCAAAUUCCACUAAUCAAGCUAGGGAGCUGAUACCAAAAGCGUUCCAGACACUGUGUCUCCUGUGACAUGUUUAUCUAACUAGUUUAACUUUCUGAAAGCAUUUCUUUGGCCUGAGUAGACAGG